GGUACGAUGGCCGAGUGGUCUAAGGCGCUGGAUUUAGGCUCCAGUCUUUCGGGGCGUGGGUUCAAAUCCCACUCGUAUCA
rnacentral:tRNA from 1 species